rfam:Pararhizobium polonicum strain F5.1 contig_14, whole genome shotgun sequence.
UGCAUGGGGUCUGCGAAUGCCCCACGAGGCGUCAUGCCGGAAUUUCGCGUCCACUCUUUACAAAAAAAAGGGACGUAUCAUG